UACGUAGGUGGCAAGCGUUGUCCGGAUUUAUUGGGUUUAAAGGGUGCGUAGGCGGUCUUAUAAGUCAGUGGUGAAAUACGGCAGCUCAACUGUCGAGGUGCCAUUGAUACUGUAGGACUUGAGUACAGACGAGGUAGGCGGAAUUGACGGUGUAGCGGUGAAAUGCUUAGAUAUCGUCAAGAACACCGAUAGCGAAGGCAGCUUACUAGGCUGUAACUGACGCUGAGGCACGAAAGUGUGGGAGUACAAACAGG
rnacentral:rRNA from 1 species